AUGGACAGUCUGUGUGGCAGCGUCCACGAUGAAGAUGACACAGACUCGGUGGUGGAGAGCAGCAACAGCCACCAGGACGAGGAGGCUGCAGCAACGCACGACGAUGUUGUGGAGGCCGGUGGGAGUGAGAAGACCGAGGAGGAGGCCCAGGCUGUGACCAAGGAGGAGGAGGCGGGCCCGGCCCCUGAGAAGGGGGCAGAGGAGGCCGCAGCCGUUGGCGAGGCAGAGGAGGAGGCGGGCCCAGGCAGUGACAAUGACAAGACGUCCCCAGCCAGGGCUGGGGCUGAGCAGGAAGAUGAAUCUGCCCCCAAGGUAAGCUCACCUUUCUUGAUGUGAGGUUGGAAAAGUCGCCUCCUUUUUUUUUGAUAUUCCUACCUGAGAAAAUGAAAAUCUGAGGAAGUCCAUUGUUUA
rnacentral:lncRNA from 1 species